rnacentral:rRNA from 1 species
UACGGGGGGGGCAAGCGUUGUUCGGAAUUACUGGGCGUAAAGGGCUCGUAGGCGGCCAACUAAGUCGGACGUGAAAUCCCCAGGCUCAACCGGGGAACUGCGUCUGAUACUGGAUGGCUUGAAUUCGGGAGAGGGAUGCAGAAUUCCAGGUGUAGCGGUGAAAUGCGUAGAUAUCUGGAGGAAUACCGGUGGCGAAGGCGGCAUCCUGGACCGACAUUGACGCUGAGGAGCGAAAGCUAGGGGAGCAAACGGG